GCGCGUUUAGUUUAGCGGCCUAGAACUCCUCCCUUUCCGGGAGGCGACGCGGGUUCGAAUCCCGUAACGCGCC
rnacentral:tRNA from 1 species